AUAACUGGAUAUAUUGAUACGCAAGUAAAUGACCAGAUAACUGGAUAUAUUGAUAAACAAGUAAGUGACCAGAUAACUGGAUAAGUUGAUAAACAAGUAAGUGACCAGAUAACUGGAUAAAUAUGAUAAGUAAUACUUGAACAAAUAUAAAGAUUUAAAGCAAUGAAUAUAACCUCAGAUAGUUGACCAGAUAACUGGAUGAGGGAUCUGCGUAAAGUAGUCAACCUCUGUGUUUGACCAGAUAACUGGAAGAGGGAUCUUUUUAAUUAAGUGUUGUUUUUUUAAACAAAAGAUAAAACUAUAAUUAACAGAGAACAACACAAGAGAUUUAUACUGGUUCACCCAAACACGGGCUAGUCCAGUCCCGACCAACUGCCGGAAUUCACUCGCCUAAAGGUAAUGGCAAAACCUUAGAGUAUCAAGGAAACUCUUAAAAACCUCUCUAAGCUUUAAGGCUACUUCGCUUAGGAACCAGUCUUUUACGGGUAGACUCACACCUUAGAGUAUCAAGGGCACUCUUAAGAACCUCUAACUUUUACGGGUAAGUUAGUACCUUAGAGUAUCAAGGAUCAAGGAACUCUUAAAAACCUCUCUAAGCUUUAAUGCUACUUCGCUUAGGAACCAGUCUUUUACGGGUAGACUCACACCUUAGAGUAUCAAGGGCACUCUUAAGAACCUCUAACUUUUACGGGUAAGUUAGUACCUUAGAGUAUCAAUGAACUCUUAAAAACCUCUGAAAUCUUUAAAGGUAGACUCAACCUAAGAGUUUUCCCGGAAACUCUAUAAAACCAAACUAGAGCUUUAUGGUUGAACUCACAAACCUUCUCUUACACUUUGGUACUAUUGAGACAACCCUCUCAACCAAAGUGGACACACACAAGAGGUGAUUAGAGGAGUGGAAUAUUAAAGCAAACAACACUUCUUACUUGUAAAGAUGAACAAGAAGAUUAGAAGUUGGAGAGCUUUUGAAGCUUUGGAAAGCUAGGACACUUGAGCACUUGAAAGCUUGGAAGCUUGGAGGCAAAAACGUGUGGGCAAGUGUGGAGUGAAAGCUCUUGAGUUUGCUUGUAGUGUGGUGAGUGAAAAUGAGGGGUUUACCCUUCUAUUUAUAGCCUUGGCCACUCAAUGUCCACCCUUGGAUCUUCAAUGGAUGGCUCCUUGAUUUCUCACAUAAAUCCAAGCUUUGUCUUUGAUCUUAUCUUGAAUAGUGCUUUUCUUGGAUAAAGUUUGUUGGAGAAUCUUAUCUUUGUAUAAAUUCAAACUUGAAUAGUGUUUUGUCCCCUUGGAAUAUUAUACCUUGAAUAAAGUGUCAAAAGAUAAUAAUAAUAAUAAUAUUCAAGGUAAAAAUGCAAUUAUUCCAAAUAAUAAUAUUCAAGGUGAAAAUGCAAUUCUCCCAAUUUGACUUUUAACUUUGACUUAAACCCUUAACUCAAAUGAUUAAUUAAUUAAGUGGAGUUAGGUUUAAUAUCGAUUGACUUAUUUACCCCCAAUUGAUUAAUAGUGUAAUUAGGGUUUAAGUUGACAUGAUUAAAAUAUAAUCCGAUAUCGACAAUUUUGAUUCUACAUUCUCCCCCUUUGUCGAUGGCAUAUAUGUUUUAACUCAUGUCUAGUCAAUAUUCUAUUUUACCCUUAUGAGCAUGCUCCCCCUUAAUUAUUGACCCAUAAUAUUCAAUUUAAAAGCCGUGGAUCAUGCAUGAUUUCUCCCCCUUAAAACAAUAAGGUAUCGACAAAGUUAAAAAUAGAUACCUGUGAAGUAUCUCCCCCUUAAUGAUAGGACAUAUCUAAUUUGUGGAGAAAAUAAAAUUUCAUACCUUAUUGAGCUUUGAUCACAAAUUCGAUUUGUGUGGUUGACCAAAUGUGACGUCUUGCUUAUAAGAGUGUUAAUCAAUCAUAUAGGAGAAAUAACAUGUAAUUUAUGCUCAUUGAUAAAAUAUUGGAUUGAAGCCAAUUUUGAUAUACAUUAUAAGGCAAGUAUGAUAUGAUAAUUUAAAUUGCCUUGUGUUAAGAUCAUAAAAUGAAUAAUAAUCCAUGUGUGUGUUAUGGAUGAAGAUGAUCUUAACAUGUAUGGAUUAAAGAUUUUAUAAUGUUGUAAUCCAUAAAAUAUUAGUGAAUGAUAUGUAUAAAUCCAUAAUAUUCACUAAUUGCUUUAAGAAGAAAUUGAGUAUUUAAAAUUUUAAAAUCUAUGUCUUAGUGACAAAUAUAAUCAUGUAAAUAUUCACUAAGUUUUAAAAGAUUUAAAAUUUUCAUUUCAGUCCUUAAAGCCUUAGUAGUAAAACUUCACUUAAAACAAAAUUUCAUUUAAGCCCUUUGAAAUUAUGAUGAAUACUUAGAUUAAUACUUAAAAAAUUUCAUUUUAAACCUUGGAAGUAUUAAAUAUUUCUAAGUAAUUUUUCGAUUAAAACUUCAUGUAAAUAUUGAUUCUAAGUCCCUGAAGUUUUACAUAAAUUUAUAUUCACUGUAAAGUUAUCAUUUUGACCCUUAAGUUUUAGUGAAUCAAUUUAAAACUUAAAAACUUCAUAAACGAUUUAUGUUUAAGUCCUUGAAGUUUCACAUAACUCUAUAUUCACUGAAAAAAAUAUCAUCUUAAUCCUUAAGUUUCAGUGAAUAGUUUAUGUUUAAGCCCUUGAAGUUUCUGGUUUAUCCAUGUAACCCUUAAAUAUUUGAUUUUGAUGAUAUUAUGUUUUUCUUUAUGCAUGCAUACCCUUAUGUUUAUAAGCUUAGAUGAUUAAAAUCAUAAACUGAUUUUUCAUUCCAGUAGAAAGGGUGAUACAUGACAGAGUUGUUCUCAUAUUCCAUGAGACUACGAUCCAUGAACGGAUCUUCAAAAUAGCAGAAAAACAGAUACAAAAUACAAGCACUCAAAACAUCAAAAUACUUCUUAGGGCAGAUGUAGUUCAGUCAUGGUGGUGCAUGGUUGGAAUGACCUUGGAGCUAAACUCAUGAAAUAGGUUUGCAAGCUCCAGGUUGUAUUCUCUCUCAACAUCUAGCUGUUGCCUUGUUAUAGAUACCAUCUCUUUCUGAUCUCCCAUUCCUUUCUCCAACAUCCUUACUUGAUGUCGAAUCUUUAUGCUUUCCUCAUUCAAAAACACAUUAGUGUUUUGUGAGUUUGGAUCAUAAGUGUUUCUCCAAGUCUUUUGGAAAGAGUUUGCAGUGAAUGGUUGAAUGUGAGCUAUGAUUGGAUGUGGGUAGAGUGGGAUUCCAAAGAAUCCUGGACUGAAGAGUCUUGAGAGCAUCCUUGGGUAGUAGCGAGCUCCAGUGUUCUUGGUUGAAGUAGCCAGAUUGUGCAUGAUCAGUGAUACCCAGUUCACUCUGAUCUUUGACAGCAAGCAGUAGAUUGCUACUAAGAUCAAUGUCGAUGGUUCUUCUCUAUUAUCAGCUUGAGGGUAUAUAUUGUAAGUGAUGAUCUUCAAAAAGAUUGAGGCUUCUGGUAUGAGCAUUGUAUUCAGAAUCUUAUCAGUUCUCUUAGGAUUAUACCUGUGGGUGAGAGUAUUCCAGAGAGUCUCCCAGCUGCACUUAAAAGGUAGCUCACCCAGGCUUUUGUAGUUUUGAAGCUUCACUCCGUUGUUGGGUAGGUUUAUCCAUAUUCCGAGUUGAUCAGCUCUUAGAAUGAGACAUAUUCCAUUUACCUUGGUGGUGAUCACUUGAGUACCUACUGUCUCAUACUUGAGAUUUGCAUAGAACUGAGCCAACUCGGAUUUGUAGAUCCUGAGCUGCCCUAUGUUUUCAAGAUAGUCCGUGAGUCUGUUGAAGUUUAGCAGCCCUUCAAUCACCUUGCAGUUGAGAGAUUUGAGCAGAACUGGUUCCUCAAAGAUUAUUCUUUGCUCGAGAAUGAGAUUAUAGGAAAACUUGGCUAUUGGAGAGAUCCAUGUUGGUGUUCCUUGGAACAUCUCUGACACUGGAAUCCUUCUGGUGCGUUUCUUCCGGAUAGGAUUGCUGCUUGAAGGAUUGGGGUUGUAUAACGGACUGGAAGGACAGUCAGGUAUGAUUGUCAGUUCCUUCUUCUCAGGAUCGAUUUCUUGAAUCAACAUCCUUGCGACAGACUGAUUUUAGGAAGAAGAAGAAGAAGAAGAUAUGUAUUCGUUUGUUCUUCCUAUCCUUAUAUAGUGAUAUAUUCUACUUUAGGCUGAUCAUGUCUGUCUUGAUUCUGUAUUAACAGACAUUACUUGUGAAGCUUUACAAGCUUUAAGUCAUGUCUACCCUUGAAGAGUUGGCAACUUAGGGUUUGUUUUUCAAUACUCAUGACACAUGUCUUGGAGAGUCUUAUCAUUUAGAUUUAUCUAAAGAUUUUGUUUACUAGAUCUAAGUUAAGAUUUGUUUUAAAAAACUAUUUAUUCAAAUAUUUAGAUCAUACCUUUUUAGUAAUUCAACGCAACUCUUACACUCUCCGUGCUUCUAGACUUUUGUAGCCGAUGUUUUUUCAACUUCUGCAGGUGAAGAUUGAUGUGUGCAUGUGCAGGAUUUGUCUUUUGUCAGCACUUCUUGCGAGGUGUUUCUUUGCAGGUUAUUCUCUGGUAAUGGAGUUGCCGGAUGUCGCAAGUGAAUGAUGGUUGCAGAUGGGUCGAGCUUUUUCUGGCUUUUUCAGCAUCGAGGUUGCAGACGAGAGUUUCAAAUCAUAUCUUAUUUGUUUUGAGUUUCCAAGGUAUGGUUUGGCUUACCAACAUCAUUUAGAUAAGAUAUAAUAUAGCAGAAUUGAUUUAAAAAUAUGUCGCAUUAGUCGAUGUUGCAUAGUUGACGGACAAAACAUGCAAAUGAUUAGUGAUAAGUAAGAUUUUAUCAUGCAUGUAUAUGACUACAACAUGCAUUCAACAGAUGAUUCUAAACAUGUCGAUGUUUUGUCAUAUGUGAAUCAUGCAUGUAUAGGAUUAGUUUCAUAAUUGAUUAUGAGUUAACGAGUUUAGUAAGGAAAUAUUUAUGCUUAUGAUUGCAUGCCAUAUAGUUCUUUAACUAGUAUUAAAAAGAUAGCAUCAUUCAAAGAUAAUCAAUUGUUUGGUGAUUGAUUUCAUAUUAAUGCAUGUAAACAUGAUAAGUACAUAUGAUAUGUACGUAUGAAUCAACGAGUUUAAUAAUGAAAGCAUAAUCACAUAGUAUAUAACUGAUUGUUUCAGAUGAUUAUGUAGUUGAAUAUUUCAUAGGAGAUUUUAUAAAGCAUGCAUUUAUCAUAUCAUAUAAUUUAUAGAAGUAUGUAAAUCAAUGUGUAGGCAUGUAUUAACGUGAUUGAUAUAUAUGAUAGACAUGCAUUUAGAUUUUUAUUUUACUAUGUCUAUUGAGCUAUGUGCGUGUAGAGCUUAGCAUGUGAAUGAUCAUAAAAGCAUGUAUGUUUAGAUAGCAUAUAUUAAGUUCAUAUAUAUAUAUGAACAUAGAUCUACUUAGGCUUUAUUUGAGAUACAAAGCAAUCUAGGACAUAGUUGCCUUGUAUAGAUGAUCUUGUUUGUAUGCCAGUGUGUUGAUCUCCAAUGAUUUGUUCUGCGGAGUGUGAGUUUCUGAGAUUCCUAUUUGAUGGAAGUUCAGAGAUGAUUGUCUCUUGCUCAUCUUUUUCUAUAGGAGUGUCAGAUGGUAUUUGUCGAGUGACUUCAAUUCCUCCUUCUUCUGUGUUUGGAACAGAGAUGGACUCAUCAAAGUCAACGUGUAGGGAUUCUAUCAAUGUUUGUCUUUCUUUGAGAAGGACUCUAUAGGCCUUGCUCCUUUUUGAGUAUCCAACCAAGAUUCCUUCAUCAGAUUUUUGUGCUAAUUUAUCUUGGUUUCCCCUUGUUCUGAGAACAUAGCACUUACUCCCAAAUACUUUAAAGAAUGAAACUUUGGGUUUUCUGUUAUUCCAAAGUUCAUAAGGAGUUUUGCUUAAGAUUUUUCUAAUGAUUACCUUAUUGAGAGUGUAACAAGCAGUGCUUAUAGCUUAUGCCCAUAGAUAUUGAGGGGAGUCAUGUUCUUGUAACAUAGACUUACUAAUUUCUUGAAGAGUACGAUUUGUUCUUUCUACUAUUCCAUUUUGAGGAGCUUGAGGAAAAGCAAAUUCAUGCUUUAUCCCAUUGAAUAUACAGUACUCUUUAAAGUCAGAGUUUUUAAAUUCUCCUCCAUGAUCACUUCUGAUUUUUAUGAUAGAUGAACCUUUUUCAUUCUGUACUAGGGUACAAAAUUUAGAGAAUUCACCAAAGGUUUCACUUUUGUUUCUUAGAAAGAACACCCAUGUAUAGCGAGAAUAAUCAUCAAUGAUUACAUAGGUGAACCUUUUUCCUCCAAGACUUUGGGUUUGGGUUGGCCCAAAUAAGUCCAUGUGAAGAAUCUCUAAGGGUCUAGAAGUGGUUAUUUCUGUGAGGGAUUUAAACGAGCUUUUAUGUUGCUUUCCUUUUUGACAAGCAUCACAGAUAUUACUUUUCUCAUAAGCUAUUUUAGGCAACCCAGUUACUAAUUCUUCUUUAGACAAUUUAGAUAGUUUUGAGUAGCUGGUGUGACCUAAUCGUCUAUGCCAUAGAACUUUCUCAUCACUUGCAGCAAGCAUGCAGAAGUCAUGAGUUGAUUUAGACUUAUCAAAGUUUAUAGAAUAAGCAUUGCUUUUUCUAUAUCCUCUGGCAAUGAUAACUCCCUCAGAGUUAGUGAUAGAACAAUUAUAUUUUUUAAAUUUUACUACACAACCGAUGUCACAUAAUUGACUUAUGCUAAUCAGGUUGUGUUUUAGACCAUUUACUAAGUACACAUUUCUUAAGAAUGGUUUUUCUGUAUUUCCUACAUUACCCCUACUUACUAUUGUACCUUCGUUGUUAUCGGUGAACUUGACCAUUUUAGUAGUAGGUAAGUCUAUCAAGUAUGUUAGUAGACUUGAUUCCCCAGUCAUGUGUCUUGUGCAUCCACUGUCGAAUAUCCAUUUUGACACAUGUUUUUCCUGAAAAAGUUGAAAAAUCCUUUGGUACCCAUACUAAGUUGGGUCCGGAUGAAUUAACAUACUUAAUCUGCUUAUAACUUCUUAACUCAUCUUUAGUCAUCCAUCUUUGUUUUGGAUGAUUCAUCUUAGAAUGAUUUUUCUUUUUCUUAAGAUGAAUGGAUUUUGUAUAACUAAAAUAAUCAUUAUACAUUGUAGCAUGCAAAGGUUUUGUAUAACUAGAUUCCCUUACAAAAUGAUCAUUAUAAGUUAUGGCAUUUAAGGUUUUGUGAAUAGGUGUAUCUGACUCAAACCCUAAGCCAAAUUUCUUUUGUCCCAAGUUUGAACCUUGCAACAUGUUAUUUAACUUGGAUGAACUAUUUAAGAAUUUUUGAAGAACAUUAUUUUUCUCAUUUAUUCUUUCAGUUUGUAAUUGCAUGCUGUUAUGUUUUUCAGAUAAUUUUUGUAAAGUUUUUUCAUGCUCAAGUAUGAGUUUAUCCUUAGAUUCUAUUUCAGUUUUAAGCAUGAUUGUUUCUUUUUCUUUAUUUCUAAUGAUUUCCUCAAAAUUAUCUAUUUUUAAUUCUAACAAUUCAACCCUAUCAUCAUUUAUUUCCUUAGGUUGAUUUUUUUCAGAUUCUAGAAUAUCGAGUAAUUCAAAAUUUUGACUCUUAAGUGUUUUAAUUUUUUCAUCUCCCUUUUUUAUUUUACUUGAGAGUUUAUGAUUUUCUUCUUUUAAUAACAUGCAUUCUUUUUGUGAUUCUUCUAAUUCUAUUGAAUGAUCAAUAUGUGAUUUAUUCAUGCAUUCUAGUCUUAAUGAUUUACUUAAUUUUUCUCAGCUUUAUAUUUAUUCAUUAAUUCUAGAAAUGCUUCUUCUAAUGAAUUAAAUCUAGUAUUUGUAAAGUUUACCUCAGAGUCGUUCUCAUGAGCCAUGAGGCAGUCUUCUUGAUCUGACUCAGAAUCUGACCAGUGUACUUGAUGUGCUUUUUCUUUCUUUAGUAGAGGACAUUCAGGUCUGAUGUGUCCAGAUUUGUCGCGCGAGUAGCAGAUGGGCUCCUUUGAGUCUUUGUUGUUUUUACUCACUUUUCUGUCGGAAUUCUGAUAGUCUAUCCUUGAAUUUCUCUUUUCUUUCCUUUUAUGAGAUAUCUCUUUAAAUGAUUUGUGAGCAUUGCCAAGUCAUCAUCAGAUGAUUCAUUAUCGAUUUGACUUUUGAGAGCAAUGCCCUUUUUCUCUUCUUUUGCUUUAGAGAUAAAUCUUUCUUCUUCAUAGACCAUCAGAUUUCCGCAAAGUUCUACCACUGUGAGUUUGUUUAGAUCAUGAGAUUCUUGGAUAGCAUUCCUGUUUGAGUAGUAUUUGUUUGGAAGGCUCCUUAGAAUCUUGCUCACUUGCUUUUUCUCAGUUACUGGAUCUCCUAGUCCAGCCAGAUCAUUGACUAUUUGUGAUAGUCGAAUAUUCAUUUCUGCAAUAGUCUCAUCUUCCCUCAUAGAGAAUCUUUCGAAUUGAGAAGUGGCAUGUAGUAGCUUGUUUUCCUUGACGUGGGAGGUUUCUUCAUAUAGAUCCUCCAAAGCUUUCCAUACCUUGUGAGCUGUAUCCAAGCAUCGAAUUCUGCUAUACUCAGAUUCAUUGAGGGCGCCAUAUAGUGCAUUCAAUGCUCUUGAGUUGUUGUUUUCCUUGAGGAUAUCCAUUGCUCCCCAAGUCUCUUCUUUGCUUGUUGGAAUCUCAUAAUCUUCCAAUAUGAUUUUUCAGACUCCAUUGUUGAUUGACUUUAAGUAUAACUUCAUCUUGUUCUUCCAGAAGUCAUACUUUACUCCAUUGUUCGAUGCAAGACCAGUACUGUUUUCACCAUUUGAAGCCAUAGUUGUUGUUGUAAGAUGUUAGUCUGACUUCAACGGAACUUGGCUCUGAUACCACUUGUUGGAUCAAGAUCCGAGGCUAUAAGGGGGGAUAAUAACCUCUUUUCGAUUUAUACGUUUGAUUGCGGAAUUACCUGUAAAUGUUUAAUAAAUAAAUGGUUGAACAAUAAUGAUAUAAAGAUAUUAUGAUUUUGAUUGAUAUAAUAAUGUAAUUAUUACUCUUCGAAGCUUACUACAGUAUAUGAAUACUGAGUCAACUUGCUUGAUAGUGUUUUACAAACAACUAUAGUAUAUGAAUACUAAGUUAUAUUGUAAACACAAAUUGUAUUGUAGAGUAAAUGACCAGAUAACUGGAUAUAUUGAUAAGCAAGUAAAUGACCAGAUAACUGGAUAUAUUGAUAAGCAAGCAAGUGACCAGAUAACUGGAUAUAUAUGAUAAGUAACACUUGAACAAAUAUAAAGAUUUAAAGCAAUGAAUAUAACCUCAGAUGGUUGACCAGAUAACUGGAUGAGGGAUCUGCGUAAAGUAGUCAACCUCUGUAUUUGACCAGAUAACUGGAAGAGGGAUCUUUUUAAUUAAGUGUUGUUUUUAGAUAAAAGAUAAAACUAUAAUUAACAGAGAACAACACAAGAGAUUUAUACUGGUUCACCCAAUCAAGGGCUAGUCCAGUCCCGACCAACUGCCGGAAUUCACUCACCUAAAGGUAAUGGCAAAACCUUAGAGUAUCAAGGAAACUCUUAAGAACCUCUCUAAGCUUUAAGGCUACUUCGCUUAGGAACCAGUCUUUUACGGGUAGACUCACACCUUAGAGUAUCAAGGGCACUCUUAAGAACCUCUAACUUUUGCGGGUAAGUUAGUACCUUAGAGUAUCAAGGAACUCUUAAAAACCUCUCUAAGCUUUAAGGCUACUUUGUUUAGGAACCAGUCUUUUACGGGUAGACUCACACCUUAGAGUAUCAAGGGCACUCUUAAGAACCUCUAACUUUUACGGGUAAGUUAGUACCUUAGAGUAUCAAGGACCUCUUAAAACCCUCUCUAAGCUUUAAGGCUACUUCGCUUAGGAACCAGUCUUUUACGGGUAGACUCACACCUUAGAGUAUCAAGGGCACUCUUAAGAACCUCUAACUUUUACGGGUAAGUUAGUACCUUAGAGUAUCAAGGAACUCUUAAAAACCUCUGAAAUCUUUAAAGGUAGACUCGACCUAAGAGUUUUCCCGAAAACUCUAUAAAACCAAACUAGAGCUUUAUGGUUGAGCUCAAAAACCUUCUCUCACACUUUGGUACUAUUGAGACAACCCUCUCAACCAAAGUGGACACACACAAGAGGAGAUUAGAGGAGUGGAAUAUUAAAGCAAACAACACUUCUUACUUGUAAAGAUGAACAAGAAGAUUAAAAGAAGAAGUUGGAGAGCUUUUGAAGCUUUGGAAAGCUAGGACACUUGAGCACUUGAAAGCUUGGAAGCUUGGAGGCAAAAACGUGUGGGCAAGUGUGGAGUGAAAGCUCUUGAGUUUGCUUGUAGUGUGGUGAGUGAAAAUGAGGGGUUUACCCUUCUAUUUAUAGCCUUGGCCACUCAAUGUCCACCCUUGGAUCUUCAAUGGAUGGCUCCUUGAUUUCUCAC
rnacentral:lncRNA from 1 species